rnacentral:lncRNA from 1 species
ACUGCCAGAUCGCCUUUAAGAAGGACGCCUUCUGGGAGGGAGACGAGUCUGCUCCUCCACGGUGGUUGCCUUGCGCCUUCCCUGACCAGGGGUGCUUUGCGAAGAGCCUUGACCAGGUGCAGUCAGAUCUUAACGUGCUUCUUUUAAAAAAGAAAAAAGGGGGAAAUGCCGCGCCUGCAGCAGAAAUGGUUGAACUCCCGAGAGUGUCCUACACUUAGGAGAGAAGCAGCCAAGGGGUUGUUUCCCACCAAGGACGACCCGUCUGCGUGCACGCGGAUGAGCCCAUCAGACAAAGACAUACUCAUUCUCUGCUGCAAACUUGGCAUAGCUCUGCUUUGCCUGGGGCUAUUGGGGGAAGUUGCGGUUCGUGCUCGCAGGGCUCUCACCCUUGACUCUUUUAAUAGCUCUUCUGUGCAAGAUUACAAUCUAAACAAUUCGGAGAACUCGACCUUCCUCCUGGGGCAAGGACCACAGCCAACUUCCUCUUACAAGCCACACCGAUUUUAUCCUUCAGAAAUAGAAAUAAGAAUGCUUGCUAAAAAUUAUAUUUUUACCAAUAAGACCAAUCCAAUAGGUCGAUUAUUAAUCACUAUGUUAAGAAAUGAAUCGUUACCUUUUAGUACUAUUUUUACUCAAAUUCAAAGGUUAGAAAUGGGAAUAGAAAAUAGAAAGAGACGCUCAACCGCAGUCAAAGAACAGGUGCAAGGACUAUCGGCCACAGGCCUAGAAGUAAAAAAAGGAAAAAGGAGUGUGUUUGUCAAAAUAGGAGACAGGUGGUGGCAACCAGGGACUUAUAGGGGACCUUACAUCUACAGACCAACAGAUGCCCCGUUACCAUAUACAGGAAGAUAUGACUUAAAUUUUAAUAGGUGGGUCACAGUCAAUGGCUAUAAAGUGUUAUACAGAUCCCUCCCCUUUCGUGAAAGACUCGCCAGAGCUAGACCUCCUUGGUGUGUGUUAACUCAGGAAGAAAAAGACGACAUGAAACAACAGGUACAUGAUUAUAUUUAUCUAGGAACAGGAAUGACUUGCGGUUCCCAAGGUUUAAGUAAGUUCAUGGUCACAAACUGUUCUUAAAACAAGGAUGUGAGACAAGUGGUUUCCUGACUUGGUUUGGUAUCAAAUGUUUUGAUCUAAGCUCUGAGUGUUCUACUAUGUUCUGUUGACAUCUAUCCAAGUCUUAUGUAAAUGCUUAUGUAAACCAUGAUAUAAAAGAGUGCUGAUUUUUUGAGUAAACUUGCAACAGUCCU